AUGCGUGGGGCGCGCGUGCACCCCGUGGGGCGGGUCGCAGGGACCGGGCGGGCGGCCGCCGGCGGCUCCUCGGUGUCCACGGGUUUCCGGAGCGACGGCGCCGCUCGCAGGCCCCGGCAGCCGGGUCUUCGGGGUCUUUGCAGCGGAGGAGGCGCCAGCCGCGGCGAGGCGGGGGACAGGGGGGCCCGCGGGAGGACCGGGGGGGGGGGGGGGGGGGGGGGCGGGGGGCGGGGCCUGCUGCACCCGUCGGGGGCGGGGCGCGGGCGGCCGCUUCCGGAAUCCUGCAGGCGGCGCGGACGUGGGCGCGGGCGCGGGCGUGGGCGGCAGCGAGGCCCCGACGGCCCGAGCUCCGCGCCUCCUCCGGGGCAGCGUCCACUCAGCAGGCCCCGCGCGGGCCCGCCUGGCGCCCGCCGACUCCUCCCCGACGCCCACGCGGGCCGGGCGGCAGGAAGGCCGAGGCGCCCCCGCGGUGCCCACGGUCCGGCGGCCCCGGCACGGACCUCGCUGCGGCGCCCGCCUGUGCUCUGGGCGGGGAUGGGGCCGUGGCCCGGGCGCAGCCCCCCGCAGAGGCGCCUACGGGCCGGGCCGGGAGGGUCAGCGAGAAGACGGAUCUGCGGGCUCCGCGGAGGAACGAAGGGGGACACGCGAGGCCCGGGGCCUCCACCUCCCCCCGGCCUAAGCCGACCACGGCGCGGCGCACACAGGCCGGACCCCCAACCAAGCCCGCGGCGCUCACAGCCUCACAGGGUGGGGUCGGCGGGCGCGGGCGGCGGCGCUCCAGGCCCCGAGGAAAGCGAGCCGGAGGCGGGAGCCUGCACCCCCGCUGCUGCCCUGGAGCUGCUCGAGCCGGAGGCGGGAGCCUGCACCCCCCGCUGCUGCCCUGGAGCUGCCCGGAGCGGGAGGCCGAGGAACCAGCACGGAGUGGCCGCCCCGCCCGGAGGCCGACGCCGAGCUGAACUGCUGGCGGCCCUGAGCGCUGCGGGAAAAGGCAGUUGCAGCUCCGAGCCAUUUCGGGAUGCGGGCCGCGGUCGACACCCCAGCUCUCGGCGAAGACCCCUGUGGGGCGCGUCCCAGGUCAAGGGGAAUCUGGGAGAGACGUCCGCACAGAGCCUGCGUCCAGUCCUGCCUUCUCCCGAGCCCGAGUGGGACCAAGUGGCCUUGCUCUAG
rnacentral:lncRNA from 1 species